CCUACGGGAGGCAGCAGUGAGGAAUAUUGGUCAAUGGGCGCGAGCCUGAACCAGCCAAGUCGCGUGAGGGAAGACGGUCCUAUGGAUUGUAAACCUCUUUUGUCGGGGAGCAAAAGACGCCACGCGUGGCGUUCCGAGAGUACCCGAAGCAAACGCAUCGGCUAACGUCGUUCCAGCAGCCGCGGUAAUACGGGGGAUGCGAGCGUUAUCCGGAUUUAUUGGGUUUAAGGGUUGCGCAGGCGGAAGAUAAAGUCAGCGGUAAAAUUGAGAGGCUCAACCUCUUCGAGCCGUUGAAACUGGUUUACUUGAGUGAGAGAGAGGUAAGCGGAAUGCAUGGUGUAGCGGUGAAAUGCAUAGAUA
rnacentral:rRNA from 1 species